GGGUGCGAUCAUACCAGCACUAAUGCACCGAAUCCCAUCAGAACUCCGAAGUUAAACGUGCUUGGGCGAGAGUAGUACUAAGAUGGGUGACCUCUUGGGAAGUCCUCGUGUUGCACCCC
rnacentral:rRNA from 1 species